AUUGAACGCUGGCGGCAUGCCUUACACAUGCAAGUCGAGCGGAGCGAGGGUGCUUGCACCUUAGCUUAGCGGCGGACGGGUGAGUAAUGCUUAGGAAUCUGCCUAUUAGUGGGGGACAACAUUCCGAAAGGAAUGCUAAUACCGCAUACGCCCUACGGGGGAAAGCAGGGGAUCUUCGGACCUUGCGCUAAUAGACGAGCCUAAGUCGGAUUAGCUAGUUGGUGGGGUAAAGGCCUACCAAGGCGACGAUCUGUAGCGGGUCUGAGAGGAUGAUCCGCCACACUGGGACUGAGACACGGCCCAGACUCCUACGGGAGGCAGCAGUGGGGAAGAUUGGACAAUGGGCGGAAGCCUGAUCCAGCCAUGCCGCGUGUGUGAAGAAGGCCUUUUGGUUGUAAAGCACUUUAAGCGAGGAGGAGGCUCUUAAGGUUAAUACCCUUGAUGAGUGGACGUUACUCGCAGAAUAAGCACCGGCUAACUCUGUGCCAGCCGCCGCGGUAACAC
rnacentral:rRNA from 1 species